AUACCUUUUAUUACAGUAUAUUGUUAUGGUUGUUCUAUUUUAUUUUUAGUUAUUGUUGUUAAUCUCUUACUGUGCCUACUUUAUGCAUUAAACUUUAUCAUAGGUAGGGAGGUAUAGGAAAAACAGUAUACAUAGGGUUUGGUACUGAUCGCCAUUUCAGGCAUCUGCUGGGGGUCUUGGAAUGCAUCUCCCACAGAGAAGAGGGGCUGCUGUCCAAUGCUAUCUCCAGGGAUCCAAGUUUCCUUAGCUGCCCCUCAUCAGGGGCAUUGUUUGUGGUUAAUACACUAUGGUUCAUUGCCCUCUAGUUCACAGGUCCCAUGAUCUUUUAAAUUCAAUCCAACAGACAUUUGCUGAGCAUCUAUUGCAAGUCUAGAACUGUGCUUGUAAUUUGGGGAGCACAAAGAAAGGGCCAGACACAGUCGUUGCCCUCAGAAAAUUUACCUCACUAUUGUGCAGGAAAUGCCAGUGUAAAUGACAUGGACGAGUAGGAGAAAGAAUAAAAUCAAAUGCCACAAUCUGGGAGGCUUCACAAAGAAAAACUUGGAAGAAUGGAUUUGAUUCAGACAGGUGAAAAGUGGAAAAGCAUUUCAGGCGGCAACAGGGUGUGUGGUGCAGCCGAGAAAAUGAGCGAGCACAGAGGCUGGAGCAGCGGGUGUGACCCAGAGAAAGGGGUACCCUGAGCUGUUGGAAGCACGGUGUGUGGUGAGGCACAGGAGCCAGGCUUCCUGGGGCCCAACUGGGCUCCGAGUUACACAGCAGCCAGGAAUCUUGAAUGUUUCCAGUAAACACUGCAUCCUAGAAAAGUAAGAGAGAAGCAGUCCUAUGUAAAAACUAAAACACAGUAUUUAAAAGCCUCUCUUUCAUUCUGUCCAAUUCUCCUAGUCUAGUCCUCUGGACACAGCUCCUGGGGAUUUACAGCUCUGCUCCUGUGUUUCUGAGGGUCCUCAGAUGUGUGCGUGUGUGUGCGCUCCCCCUAUGUGUGUAGGUGUGUCUAAAUGUAUUUGAACACGUGCCCAUAAAGUUCCUCUUAGGAACAAAGGUGUAUUUGCUAGGAAAAUGUUUUAAGAGGCAAGGUGAGGACACAGUCUACAAGGAGACAGGGAAAUCAAAGGAACAUUUACAUAAUAAAGUGACAGGAAUUUAGAAGGUUAGCUGGAGAAAGAGGGAGGAGGAGGUAGAGAAGGAACAGUACGGAUGGAGGAGGUCAGAGCCUAAGAAAGGCUGGUAAGCAACCCCUGGGGCCAGGGUGUUUGAAGGGCUUUUAGUAACAAGGAUAUUUAAUUUGUAUUUUUAAAUUAUUUUUGGUGCUUCCAUGGAGAUCUUCUCCAUUGCCUUGAAUCUUGCAUGAAAGUUAGUUACACCCAGAGCCUUGAGUCGGUGGUAUUUGGGGGAGUCCAUAAACAGGUGUGUGCGAAGGACGCAGGGCCGUGGCUGGCAUGGGGCAGCAGCAGUUCUCCUGCCAUGGCGAGGUGCUCACAGACAAAACUAAGCUGGAGCUGUUGGUGACAGAGAGAAAUCUAGUGACAUCCCAGGCUUUGCUUCAUUGGGCUCCUCUGUCACCACGGAAAGGCCUUUCUGUUUGCUGAAAAUCACCAGGCAAGUAACCAGCUCCCGGACGAGGAGGUAGUUAGAAGGGCUGAGGGUAGAGUCUCCAGAGAGUGGCUCAGGUCUGGAUUCUCUUGGCUGCAGAGACCUAUUUUCUGUUUACCAGGGGAUUAAUUAUGGUUUCCACACUGGUCUGCCAGGGCACCAGCGAGGUUGGUUAAAGAAAGCAGAGGCGCUGAGUUUGGGAUUUUUCCAGCCCUGGUCAGUGAUUUUCAGCAGGAAAAUGAAGGGGUGUGAUUUCUCCUUUACAGCCUCUCAAUCAAUUAUUGAGGUUCCUGUAACUCAUCUGAUUCUGGUCUUUUAUCCCAAUAUAAACACACCAGAUUUACAGCAGCUGAGGGGAGGUGCCUCAAUUCUUUCUUUUUUGGUCAACGUAAGAGUGAAUUCAUAGUGUUUGAUUAACCACAUUAUUUUAUAAAUAACCAGUAUAUGCUAGGCUACAGAAGACUACAUUUGAUAUUUCCAAGGAAAUCAGGAAAGGUUUGGAAAUAGAUGGAGAAUAAAUAAAUAAAUAUCUUUAGCUCUUAUAACAAGGGUUUGAGACUUUUUGCUAGAUUCAUUACAACCUUAUUAGGAUAUAUUUUUCAGUAUAUUCAUACAAAAGCAAUGAAUCAACACAGCAUCUUCUUGUGGCUUGACAAGUUAUAUCAUGGGAGAAGUUUUUUUUAGAAGCCGAGGCAAUAAUAGUUUGCUUUCAUUUGUUGUCUGUUUGCCAUAGGAGGUGGUUUGAUUGUUUUUCACUGUAAUUACUUCCACGGAUACCCAGACGGUUCACAUUUUGCCAAUGAAGGAAAAGAAGCUCUUGAAAACACCACAGAUCAUUUUUAAAUGGAGAACUUGUUUUUCAAUUAAGUGGAAUUGCUUUAAGUAAUUUGUGAUAAUCAUCCUUUAGAACUUAAUAUAGAGGUGCUUAUCCUUAUAUUGAUAAAAAUAACCAGCUAGGGAAAAUUGUAUAAACCUCAUAAAAAGAUUUAAAUUGUGAAGUAGACUGAUAAAAAGAAACAUGUGACAGGUCUGUUCUAGAAUUUUUUGCUUUAUCAAAAUAAAAAAGGAUUAUUUUUUGUCUU